rnacentral:rRNA from 1 species
AUACGGAGGGUGCAAGCGUUGUUCGGAAUCACUGGGCUUAAAGCGGGUGUAGGCGGAAUGGUAGGUGUCUUGUGAAAGCCCUCGGCUCAACCGAGGAACUGCAGGGCAAACCCCCAUUCUUGAGACAGGUAGAGGCAAGUGGAACUAUGGGUGGAGCGGUGAAAUGCGUAGAUAUCCAUGGGAACGCCGGCGGCGAAAGCGGCUUGCUGGGCCUGUUCUGACGCUGAGACCCGAAAGCGUGGGUAGCAAACAGGAUUAGAAACCCCAGUAGUCC